UAUGUGGGGUGCGAUUGAGCCCCAUGUGUCCUAUUCUUAACCUGUUUAUAAUACGAUCUUCUUCGAUUUCUGCCCUAAUUCAUUCAAAGCUCGAAUAUGAUUUUGUAUUCCAGGCAGUCAGCCUACUUCACUUCAGUCCAACUUCUCUUGCAAUAUAUUAUUGGGCAAAACUGGCUAGACAUUGAUUGAUUACAUUUUCUUCUUAGGACAACAAGCAAAGCACCCAAUCGUUUCUUUGUAACGUUAGGCUACUUAUAUUACUAAACCUCAGAAUACAACCUGCUGAUUUCUCACAUAUAAAUGUUUAUACAAAAAUGAAUACUAAUUGAACGGCUUGUGUAUUUUAUUCAAGAAAGAAAUAGAAACAAACCGUAACUGUGUUCACGUUGAAUUUUAUCGAAAAAUAUAAAUAAUAUUUUCUUUAGAGUGUGUUGGCCAGGGUCCUUUCCAAUGCAUGUGCACCUUCUGUCUUUUUUCCUAAUCAGCCCAGUGUGCAUAAAGUAUCAUAGUUCUUUACACACGUGCGGUGGUGAAGUGUGGUGGGUUUGAGUUUCAGAGCACUGUGAUGCCUCGCUGUGACUUCUGCAGACAAGGAAAGAAGAAAAAGCGCUGGAAAUAAAGUUGAUUUCCCCGCUCAGUGAAUGGAGUUAACCGAUUCUUCUUUUUGAUUUACUAUCAAAAAUGGAAAGCAGUAGCACAGGUAUGUUUGUAUUUUGAAAUAAGCCAUAAAUUGAGCUUUCAACUAAACUUCCCAUGAUUGGUUGAGGAGGUGCUUUCAGACUUUUCAGAGUCAGAUUGAUCCCCCUUUCCCAGGGACGAGUCUCACCAAAGACAUAGCAAGCAUGUCUUUGAUGGACAGGUAUGAAGAGGAGGACUGUUCUGAUUCAGACGGCAGUGCUGAGCUUGAUGAAGAGGAUGAAGAGGAUGAAGGUGAUGAAGGUGGGCAGUGUCACUCUUCCAUUGAGCUUUGAGUCUCAAUGACGAGUUCUAGAGGAUUGGAACUGCGAGAAAAGUUCUCUUCUGAAGAUGAACCAGGUGGCCAACGGCAGACCGAGAGGAGAGCAAAGCCAAGGCCAAAGACAAAAGAGCAGUCAGUCAGAGUUGCUUCGACGAAUCCGUUCUCAAUUUGUGCAGGGAGUUUCAAACCCAGUUAUCAAAGGUCUCCUGGAUGACCUUUAUCAGCAUGAAGUGGUCAGUACUGAGGAAAAGGAAUUUGUGAUGGAGAACCAGAAGAUCAAAACGGACAUGGCUGAUAGUAUGAAGUUUAGGGACAAGCACUUGUGCUCCGACCUUGGUCUGAUCUCUUCUUCUGCUGCGGUGGCUGAGAUGUAACUAUGAAUUUCCUUUGUAAAGUCACUGCCGACUUUGUUUUGACAAGACAUUACAUUAAAUCAGCUGACAUAUUGUUGAUAUGUUUAGAAUAGGUCCUCCUUUCGGUGCUAGUACAUGUGUAGACCUUUUGUAUGGUCUCGGAAAAAUCACGGAAAUGUUUAGUUUCCCAAGAGGAAGCUAAAGUUUUGUUUUUUUAUCUAUUAUUUUAAAUGUUCAGGCGGAUGCUAUACGCAGCCAGAUUUGCAGAUCGGCUGCGGUACAUGUUGGACAAAACUUGACAAGAUCCACAAAUGCAUACAAACGAGUUCACAUGUGGUAAUCUGAUGUGAAAGAGGGUGUGGACUUUAAGUUACAAAACACAAGUCAACUUUAUGGAUUUCUCCAUUGUGAUCUGUUCUGAAAGUUUGUUUAGAUAUCCUUUUUACAAAGGAAAAGUAAACAAUAUUUGUGAUUUUUGGUAACGAAACGUGAAUUGUCUUCUAUUGGUAACAAGUUACUCACUUCCUUUUACAUGCAUGGUGCCACCUGCAGGUGUAUGCUAUGACCGCAUCCAGAUUGGUACAUGGGACAAAAUUUGAUCUUGAUUGCAAAUCUAAAGUGAAAAAUUACUAUGGACACUGCCAUCAGUGUGUGUAAAAUUGGUUGCAAGUAGCUAUGAAUGAAAGCGUCCGCUAAAUGCAAAUGUUAUUUCCUCACUUCAGGGUAAGCUGCAGUAAUAAAUAAACCUGGCACUGCUUCACCCUCCCUUUAAUUUGAUUAUUUUGUUAGUUUAAAAAUACAAAUUGUUGAAACAACAAUAAUGACGCAUGGAGGCAGAGUUAAAGUAUUUACCGGUUAUGAAAAUCAGAACCAUGUGGGGUCAUCCCCAGCACCAGAAAGGUCCAUGUCCUCCUAGUCCCACUGAACACCGGUCUGCACCAUGCAGCACAACCCUUGGUGCGACAAAGGCCCCAAGACGCCAGGGCGAGAUGUAUGCCAGCGGGCCAUGGGGAGGCCAUAGACUGUAUGACAGGAUCAGGACCUUAUUUAGUCAAUGGUUAGCACUAGCGAAGGAAAACUAUUGUCGCUUCUUUGCGGAGCAGGUCAUACCUUCAGUGGGAUCACAAGAACAACGCGAGAGCCUAAGAAUACUACAUUACAGGUUAGGUCAUGGCAGGUCAUCCAGGCCAUUGUGUGGUUCCUCUUGACAACAUUUGCACCCAGUUGCUGGGUUGGUUGUUGCAAUGAUUAAAUAAACCAAUGAUAACCUGUCAGCAUAACUCACCGCAGUACUCCUCCGGACUGAAUGCUGCGUAUACACAGAAACCUUGGAAAACCUCAAAAUGAUCCAUGAUUCCUACACCUUUCCAAAGGAAACGCUAGAUUAAUUCCAUUUUAUACGUUCAAAGAUUGACACAAACAUUGAUCAGUUUUAUCCAUUUUCUUAAUAACAUGCUGGCAGGAUGUGGAUAACCUGAUGAAAGUGUGUGGAGUCCAGCCAUUUCAGAGAAAUCUAAAACUCUCUACAGAGCUUGGCGAAAUACAUUGUCCCACUUUUGUCUCCAGGAAUAAUCACUCACUUACUACAUUGUUCUGCUUCUUUUAUUGAACAUAAAGGCAAAAAAAAACACGUCUUGCACUGAAGUUGAAUUUAAUUUUGGAUUGACACUGUUUUUGUUCCAUCGUAACCUACUGGAUAAUUGUUAUCAAGUGCAAUUGUAUUCAAGCCAGUAACAAUUCAGAACAAUAACAGGCACGUCUUGUGCAAAUUGACCAGCAUUGGAAUAGCUCCUAUAGACACAGAAUACAAACAUGCCAGAGGAAAACGAUACAAAAUCAUUUGUUAUUCAUAUUAAUUUGGGAAGAUUCUCCAUGAGAAUAAUGUCCAUUCACGGAAACAAUGUAGAAAUCAACACUGUAUUCAUUGCUGUGAAGAGACUACCAAAACAGAAUUUGGUUAACAUUCAGUCCUUUACGCAAAAGACAACACAUUUUAUGUUACUACCAACAAAA